GAUGAAGAACGUAGCGAAAUGCGAUAAGUAAUGUGAAUUGCAGAAUUCAGUGAAUCAUCGAAUCUUUGAACGCACAUUGCGCCCGCCAGUAUUCUGGCGGGCAUGCCUGUUCGAGCGUCAUUACAACCCUCAGGCCCCCGGGCCUGGCGUUGGGGAUCGGCGGAAGCCCCCUGUGGGCACACGCCGUCCCUCAAAUACAGUGGCGGUCCCGCCGCAGCUUCCAUUGCGUAGUAGCUAACACCUCGCAACUGGAGAGCGGCGCGGCCAUGCCGUAAAACACCCAACUUCUGAAUGUUGACCUCGAAUCAGGUAGGAAUACCCGCUGAACUUAAGCAUAUCAAUAAGCGAGGA
rnacentral:misc_RNA from 1 species